rnacentral:rRNA from 1 species
UACGUAGGGUGCGAGCGUUAAUCGGAAUUACUGGGCGUAAAGUGUGCGCAGGCGGCGCUGCAAGUCGAGUGUGAAAUCCCCGAGCUUAACUUGGGAAUUGCGCUCGAAACUACGGUGCUGGAGUAUGGCAGAGGAAGGUGGAAUUCCACGUGUAGCGGUGAAAUGCGUAGAGAUGUGGAGGAACACCGAUGGCGAAGGCAGCCUUCUGGGCCAAUACUGACGCUCAUGCACGAAAGCGUGGGGAGCAAACAGG